rnacentral:misc_RNA from 1 species
AAGUCGUAACAAGGUUUCCGUAGGUGAACCUGCGGAAGGAUCAUUAUUGAAUAAAUCUGGCAAGGUUGUAGCUGGCUCUCUGGAGUAUGUGCACACCCUGUCACCUUUAUCUCCCUUCCUGUGCACCAAUUGUAGAUCUGGAUAACCCUCGCUGAAAGGCGGAUGCAGAGACUGCUGCUGCCUUCUAAUGUAAGGCCAGCUUUCUUUGAAUUUCCAGGUCUAUGAUCUUCACAUACCCCAAAUGAAUGUCAUAGAAUGUUUUUGUAUGGCCUUUGUGCCUAUAAAGUCAAUACAACUUUCAGCAACGGAUCUCUUGGCUCUC